AACGCAACUUGCACUCUCUUUUAGAGAGUAUGCCUGUUUGAGAAUCUAUAAAUAUUCAAAAUUACAUUUUGGAGUCUGGGCAUUCUUUAUUUGCGUAAAGUUGCCUUAAAUGCAAAAGGCUAAAUUCACAAUUGAAUUGACAAAAACAGAGUUGAAAUAGGAGCAUCAGUUUGAUAUCCUUUCCGCUCUUAGUAUUCUCAAUUUCGUCGUCAAGGAUGCCUCUAAACUCUGUAGACUAGGUCUCAAAUCAGGUAGGAAGACCCGCUGAACUUAA
rnacentral:misc_RNA from 1 species